GUUGUGAAAUGUUGGGUUAAGUCCCGCAACGAGCGCAACCCUUGCCAUUAGUUGCUACGAAAGGGCACUCUAAUGGGACUGCCGGUGACAAACCGGAGGAAGGUGGGGAUGACGUCAAGUCCUCAUGGCCCUUAUAGGUGGGGCUACACACGUCAUACAAUGGCCGGUACAGAGGGUAGCCAACCCGCGAGGGGGAGCCAAUCCCACAAAGCCGGUCGUAGUCCGGAUCGCAGUCUGCAACUCGACUGCGUGAAGUCGGAAUCGCUAGUAAUCGCGGAUCAGCAUGUCGCGGUGAAUACGUUCCCGGGUCUU
rnacentral:rRNA from 1 species